ACCUGAUUUAUGUGUGGUAAUGUAAUUAAUUUCAUAUCAUCAUAAUCAACAAUAUUCAAUCUGAGGGUGAAGCAACCACAAAAGUGAACUACGAGGCUGCAUGGAUAAAAAGCCAUAGCCUAAAAGAAGAAAG